rnacentral:rRNA from 1 species
CGAAAGCCUGACGGAGCAACGCCGCGUGAGGGAUGAAGGCCUCUGGGCUGUAAACCUCUUUUAUCAAGGAAGAAGAUCUGACGGUACUUGAUGAAUAAGCCACGGCUAAUUCCGUGCCAGCAGCCGCGGUAAUACGGGAGUGGCAAGCGUUAUCCGGAAUCAUUGGGCGUAAAGCGUCCGCAGGCGGCCUUGAAAGUCUGUCGUUAAAGCGUGGAGCUUAACUCCAUUUCAGCGAUGGAAACUACAAGGCUUGAGUGUGGUAGGGGCAGAGGGAAUUCCCGGUGUAGCGGUGAAAUGCGUAGAUAUCGGGAAGAACACCAGUGGCGAAGGCGCUCUGCUGGGCCAUAACUGACGCUCGUGGACGAAAGCCAGGGGAGCG